rnacentral:misc_RNA from 1 species
AAAAAAUUGUCAACGUAUCUCUUCCUUUUAACUGUUCAACCAGCAACGGCAGUACGGUUUGCCCCACCUUGACGACCUCCUCCCCUUCCACCUCCAUUUUGGUUAGCCCGCUGAUAACCUUCUCCAUUGCGUCCGGUCGAACCCCGGGGUCGUCCAGAGAACUCGCCCUGGUUUCUGAAUUCGUUUCUCCCAUAGCCUCUCCCACCACCAUAAUUU